CGGAAGAGGAGGCAGCAACAUUUGCAGCAUCUAAGGCAGAUACAGACUCAUUGCUGCUGAGGAAACGCAAACUCUUUACUCUGGGGGUUACAAAAUGCCCUGGGCCAGAAUCCUACACUAUCACCAUUAGGAUCUCCCAUCACUAGGGGAAGGCAGGAAGACUCACCACAGAUACAAAGCAGAGCUUGGCUUUCAUGGGAAGGAUCAUCGGGGACACUCAAAUUCUGCUGAAGGGACCUGGAAUAUGCCAACCAAAGAGAGGAGGACCAGGAAGAGGAGGACUAUACCAACUCUAUCCAUGGGGAAGGAAUACCUGGGGAAAUACUGUGAAAG
rnacentral:lncRNA from 10 species